CGUAAUAAGAAAAGAAAAAAAAAUGGAGGAAUGGCAUAUGUAAUGUAAUAAGCAUUUCUGAAGUGAAAUUGAUCCAUGAAGUCAAUGUUGAUCGGAGACCAGAAGUGAGAAGUUAUUCCAAAACAGGGCAGGAAACCCAUCCCUAAUGAAGUGUGAAAUUCAUUGAAAUGAUUUCACCUUUGAAUAAAACUUGCAAAUGGGGCCCUUAACGUGGAUAAACAAGCAUAAUUAAUAAAGUUGAUGCUGGUGUUAGGCUUUUCUAGAUGGACACAUAAAUUUCCAGAGAGAGAGAGAAAGAGACAUAUCCUAGAGAGAGAGAGAGAGUCCAGGGGUGAAGAACCUUGGGGGACACAAGGCCCUCUGUUUCUAAAACCAGCAACUUGCAUGUCAGCAACCCCACUUGUAUUUGGAAUUCACUGAACCCAACCAUUUCUCUCUCUCUAGAUAAUAACAAUAGUGAUAAUAAUGACAAUUCAAAUACAGUGUAAACAACCCAAAACUCAUCAAAAGGAGGAGGUGCCAAUUCCAUUUUUCCCCACCCCCAUUUCUUCUUCCUAUAACUUCCAUACAAUCUUUUGAAAGAUAGCACAAAACCCACCUCUCCUUUUUAUUCCUUUUUGUUUGUUUUGAAUCUUUUGAUGAUUAUGAGGAAUUCUUUUGUACUGAACACACAGGAUCUGUAAAAGGGGGAAGAGUUUUGAGGGGCUGAGAUGCAAAGACUGCUUAAGGGGGGCUUUCUUUCUUGUUGCCUCAUUCAGAAAUCUUCGUACAACACCGGCCAUCAAAGGCUUUAUCAGCUUUAUCAACAUCACUGUUGGAUUAUUGGGGACGACGUCUCAUGGUUUGCUCAUUGAAUUGAAGUUGUAAUUAUUUUGCGGGCAGUUAGAAACAUUUGGUAUUGACUGAAUUCGAAGAUAGUUGGGACAAUUUUUUUUUUCUUAGACGAGUUACUGAAAAUCAAAUCUUUGUUGCAAGAUCAAGUUUGAACCCAUUUUGCAUUUCUAGUUUGUGAAGCUGAAAGUUCUGAAUUGGGAUCCAGGCAGCAUUUAGUUUCUAAAAGAACCACAUUGGGUUGUUGAAGUGGAACGAUAACAACCUUCGCGGGUUCUGUGAGUCGUAGGUUUGAUUGCAUAUAGAAACUACAAGAAUUCGCAUACACAUUUGCACCAGCACCAUAAAUCCGAUCUCGUGUCUUUGAGUUUCAGAGGUUCUUGAAGUCUGGACAUCUCUUGGGAGAUAUCUUGAGUUUAGCCAUAGUGGGAAGCCUCAGUGAUUGCAAUUUGCAUUGGUUUAGUUUGAUCUGGGGUGCUGUGAAUUGGGUGGCUGGGAGAGAGUUUUAAUGAAUUUUGAACUUCCUGAAGCAGAUAUAACAAGACUGUUGAAAGGUUUGGUUUUUUGGCGAAGUCAUUCUACAAGUUGCAUUAUGGAUGUGAGAGCAAGAAAGAUUCCUACCCCUUUGGUUGAAGAGAAGAUAGAAUACCAUCAUCCCCAUCAUCAAGGAAAGAAGAUUGAAUACCAACGCACCCUUUCACAUGGUAAAGGGAGCAGCAGAAGAUUGUUGUCAGCAAGUUACUUCAGCUUAGAGUCGUUGCUUUUACUCGUGUGCCUCACGGCGUCUUUGCUGAUCCUUCCAUUGAUACUU